CAAGUAAAUUUGUUUCAAGAAAUUUCAGAAUUAAAAUGAGAGCUUUCAUUUUGGCAUGUAUUGUAGCAGCGGUUGUUGCCGAUACUUCAACUACAGUGGCACCAACCACGGACCAAAUUAUUGCCCAGUUUAAGGCAAUGGUUAGAAAAAGCUCAACGGCACUAUUUGCCAAAGCCGACUCCAAUGGCAACAAUGAAUUCGACAGAAACGAUAUGCAACACAUCUUCGUAGAAUACGAUACCGACAAGGAUGGCAGAAUCUCCGAAGCUGAAUUCGAAAAUUCCUUCGCUUCUCGUGAGCCAGGUAUGAAAAUUGUUUCAAAGGGACUUUUCUUGGAAUUGGAUAUGGACAAGAAUGGUUUCGUCACUGAUAGUGAUCUUCCUCUUU